AUAUAUGUGAUUAACUAUAUUACAAUAAAAAAUAUGUACGUCACUUUAUAUAUACAAAUUCACGCUAAAGCAUACAUAUAGUAUAAUAUGUAUAGGUUACACUUCAUUUACUAAGUUGUCUUAAUAACAAAUCACAACUAAUUUACAAUUACACAACGAAGCGAGUUGUCUAUGAGCGAAUAGUGAACGAGGCGAAGCCGAGUUGACUAUUCGUUCAGAGACAACGAGGCUGAGUUGUCUAAUUGUUUUAGUAUAAACCACAUAAAAAAACGGAGUUUUUCACUUGAUUUUUAUGUAAAAUAAUAACGUUCUAACGAAAUGCAUAUGAGCGUUUAAAUGGCUUCCUUUGGCGACAUUUCGCCUCGGCUUUGUUGACAACUACUCAGUGUUGCGAACUCCCAAGAAUGACUUGAAAAAUACAACUUGUGAGUUUUAAAGUAUACACAGACAAUAGUUUAGAUUAAAAUUUAAUCGAAAAGCUCGACUUAAAAAGGCUCGAAAAGGCGAAAAACAAACUCGGCCAAAAUCUCAACAUUUAAACCAAAAAAAUUCUUUAAAAUGACAGCUAAAUACACGAACUCGUACUUAAGACAAGCACACACUAAAGAGUUUGAGAAAAUAGGGGUAAAUAGUUACAAAGUAUUGUUAAAUUUGAACGGUUCUGCUUGGAAUAUUAACAAACAUUGUGCAUAUAUUUUAAAAAAUUGCCUGUCACUUUCAUGUUCAAAUUUCAAAACUACGAGCAAAGUUGAGAAAACUUAAAAAUUUCACCGCAUGUGUCAGCAGUUUCCAAGAGUCUUUAUUUGUGUGUAAUCCAGAACAAAAAUUAGGCCAUUUUGAUAAGCUUUUUCCCUUUAAAUGCAGCUUUUAAUACUUAAAAACGGCCAUUGACUCUCGCGCCUUUCGCCGCUUGUUGCUACUAGUAGGCUAUCACUAAUAGCCUACUAGUAGCGUAGCCAAUCAGAACACACGAUACAUGAUAGCCUACUAGUAGGUUUAUACUAAUUAGGAUUAGCCUACCCAAGGAAAUAAUGAGUAUAAUGAUAAUUCUUUAUUGGCUAUGAUCAUAGUCCGUUAAGACAUAAAUUAUGGUCUGGAACCGGCAAGCAUCAAAGACACAAAAUAGAAGACCUUUGUUUGAUGUUGAACUGUACCUCACCGUGCAUAAAUCCUUUGUCUCAACAUCAUUAUAAAUAUUAUUCAUCGUGGUUGCACUUUUCACCUCGGCUGAUCCUAUAAUGAUGAUUAUCACUUCAUUUAUACAAAAAUAGUAAAAUACAAUGAGCUGAAUCACCGCGACCGUGCACAAACUAUAACAUAAACUCAGAUAAAAACAUAACACAAUGACUUCUAUUUCGUUUCCAGACCAUCGGUCAUGUCCUGACAGACCAUGUUUAUAUCAAUAUGAAGUUCAGGUCUAUUAUAUUUAUUUUA